CACGAUUCCUGUCCUCUCACGAUACCGCUUGACCCGCUGAGUUCCUACAGCAAUUUGUGUUUCCCGAGAAGAGAGAGAGGAUCAUCAGCGUCCGUUCUCUCCUCGUCUACCAGGCUGUAACCUCGGGAAGGUUCCUCAAGUUCUCCGAAAUUCGAAUUGUUCUGAUUAAGCAGGGGGCGUCAAACAAAGGGGAAAGGAAGAUCCGUGACCCAUGUGAAUGCAAACCCGCUCUCCCCGUGGAUGAUGCCCAAGUCCCAUCAGCAUUCACUGACUCAAAGUACAGAUUUCACCCGAGCAAGGAGACUGGAAAAUCUGGUCUGGAUUUCAGUGCCGAGGGAUACACAUACGAGUGAAAGUUUCUGCUGCUCACCUCGGAUGGUAUCGAGUAACUGUUCAAUCCGCUGGGGAUCAUUCUGAUCAGUUCUGCAGCUUUGUGUGAUUUCUAGUACAUAAUCAGGCCCAUACUCUGUAAAAUACUAUAAAAGCAAUUGCAUUAAUAAUGGCAUUUAAAAAAAUCUGCAGAAUAAUGGACGACUGGAACAGAAAUAAAGACUGGCAUCUCAAAUGAAGAAUAUACAUGGAAUUGAAUUCACAAGAGAUUCUGCAGAUGCUGGAAUUCUAAAACAACACACACAAAGUGCUGGAAGAAGUCAGCAAGCCAGACAGCAUCUAUAGAGGGGAAACAACCUGUCACUUAAUCAGGACUGGAAAGGAAGGGAGAAGAAGCCAGAAUAAGAAGGUGAAGGAGGUGAUAGGUGAUACCAGGUGAAGAGGAAGGGGUGAAGGAGAGAGAAUAGAUGAGGCAAGAAGCUGCAAGGUGAUAGGUGCGUAACGGCCUGGUAAAGAUUUUGCUGCUACUGUUGUACGGUAUUUCAUGUAAUGGUUUUCUGUAGAAGCAGUGUGCUCUGCUGGUAGUGUUUCGAUUAUCAUUAAAGAAAAGUGAUGUUUAGGAAUGUUGUGUCAUCCAAUCAGAAUGGUGGAACUGGGAGGAAGUUCCAGAGAACACUUGGGGAGAGGUUUUGUGACGGACACGAAGGUAGGUUGAGGUCUUCUUUUGGCGGGAGAUGGAAAGAAGAAGCUCAAAAGAACUGGCUGUGGGGUUCAAUCUGACGGGAUGCACAUUCCAUAGAGCCCAAGAGAGGGAGUUCUACCAGGGAUCGGUGAAUAUGAGUUGGCACCGUGAGUACAUUGGACACAACCGCUUUGGGAAGAUUUGAGCUCCAGCCUGUGCACAUUUGACUGUUUAAUUAUGAUGGGCCCUUCUGUUUUUUCUUUUCUUUAAUAACUGGUUAAGUUAAUAUUCAUAAAUAUACUUUCUCUUAUAAUAGUAUGCAGUAUACGGUCUGUUAUUUCUUGCCAAUGGCUGAUUGCAUGGGGGCAGUAAGUUACACAGUAUUCACACAAAUCAGGGUUCGGGUGGGUGAGACACCACAACCUCACCGGUUUGGCGGGACAGUAGACAUACAGAUGUCUGAGAAAGGUAGUUUUCUCACCGCUGAGUCUGGUGGCUUUUAGUGAGGGGCUAACGAGCUGCCUCUCUGAAGAUGCCUGGAAAAAGGGGGUUUCAAGUGAAAGAGGUAAAGGAAUAACAACGGAGUCUAAUAGGAGAGGACAGGGGCCAUGGAAGAAAAGGAAGGAGUAAGGGAACCAGAGAGAGGUGACAGGCAGAUGAAGAGAAGGGGUGAGAAGGUAACCAGAAUAGGGAAUGGAAAAAGAUGGGGGGGGGGGGGAGAAAUCGAUCUUCUUUCCAUCUGUUUGGAAGUUAUCCAGAAUGAAUACAAGGUGUUGCUCCUCCAACCUGAGUACGGCCAUAAUAUUGCAGUAGAAGAGGCCAUAAACAGAUGCCAGAAUGGGAAUGAAAAAUAGAAUUGAAAUGGUUAGCCAGCACGAGAUUCUGCCUUUUGUGGCAGACGCGAGAGAAGGUGCCGGACAUCAUCUUCUUUAGCCCUUUACCUCUUCCAGCUAUCACCUCCAAGUGAUACUUCAUCAUCAUACCCCCCCUCAUCUGCCAUACUGUACCCCUAUCCCCUCCCCCACCUUGAUUCUGCGUUCUGCCCAAUUCCUUUCCAGUCCUGAUGAAGGGUUUCUGCCCAAAGCAUCCACUGUUUAUUCUCCUCCACAGAUAUUGCCCGACUUACUGAGUGCUUCCAGUAUUUAGUGUGGGAUAGAUUAAAGUACAAUCAUUCAGCUGUGAAACUAUAAGCAAAAUACUGAACAUUUCGUGACUGUUGCGUGAAAUCAUUCCUUGGUACUUUAUAAAUGUUGCAUGAAGAAAAAGAAUGUUUUGGGUGGGGUAGUUUCAAUUUUCCUAGAAUUUGCUAGAAGUUUGGAAACCAAUUGCCUUUAAUCUUAAGAGCUGGGAAUUUACACAAAGAUACCUUGAUGGCUUUCAAUAAUAAAUUUGUAUAGAAUGUGUAGAGGUGACAUUGUCUGCAUUCUUAUACAGUACUAUAGUAACUUUAUGUAUUGGACUGCACUGCUGGUGCAAAAAUAAUCAAAUUUCAUGACAUAUAUGAGUGAUGAUAAACCUGAUUCUGAUACGGAUCUCUAUUGUGGAAUGAGAGUGGGAAGGGGAAUCACGGUUGGGAAAAUGGGAAGGGAGAGGGGAGGGAGUGAGACGCACCAGAGAGACAUUCUGUAAUGAUCAAUAAACCAAUUGUUUGGAAUCAAAUGACUUUGCCUGGUGUCUCAGGGCUGGGUGUGUCUGCACCUGCACCAGCUCCAGCAGGCACUCCCUCUCUGCCACCUGCUCCUCACCCUCCCACAGCAUUCUACCCUUACAUUCCCAACAACCUAUGUGCCUGUUAGAUUUACAGACUUGCUCUCCACUCCACAUUGACAAAUACAGUACCAUGCAAAAGUCUUAGCCACCAUAGCUCUACACAUAUAUAAUAAGACUUUUGCACAGUACUGCAGGCUUUGCAGCCCUGACCAUAUCAGGGUAUUCUGACUGAGAUUUCAGACUCAAAAAGCAACCUCUCACUCAAAUUAAUUAUUUCCGUCCAUAUAUAACAACCCAAGCUCAUUAUUUGUGAAGCAGGAUUUGAAAGGCAAUUGCCUGUAAAUUCCACAAAACAAUAUAUUCCGAAGUAAUUGCAGGAAAUGCCAACUAGUUCAUUGUUUGGGUGUUGAUAAAUAAUUAAGUAACCUGAGAUUCCAUACAACUGGAACCAAUUAUACUCAGGACAAUGGAGCUGCAAACCCAACCAGAGAUUAGCAGAGCAGAGUUCAGGCUGUAUCAUUUCACUCAGUCACUGUUCUCAGCUUAGUCAUGGUUUGCUACAGUUUCAAUGAGAAAGGCAUUUGCAAAGGAAGCUUGUAAUUAUUGCAAAGGGUUGAAUUCCAUACUUCCAUCCACGUUUAUUAUUAGUCCAAAGUGGUAGAAUAAUGGAUACAGAGUACUUGACUCAACUAUAAUCACAGUCUCUGACACUCAAAACGGUCUUUGUUUUAGCUGCGUUGUAAACUGCCCCAUUCUAAAAUGUCAGCAAUAGUAAAGUAGUCCAGAGAUAAAGCCAUCUGGUUCACUUGCUUCAAAGAACAAAUUGAGAGACAGAUUAAAAAUUAAAAUUUUAAAAGUCAUCCAAAGAAGUGAUGAAGUCUGGUCUAACAGAAAAAUGAUGUCUCCUUGAAGGUGUGCGACAAAGAGGACAAUGCAGCUUCCAGAUACUUUCCGUUCCUAAAAUUCCAGUGAUCUAUUAGAACACUUAACUGGAAAGUCAGAUUCAAAGAUUCAAAGUCAGAGUCAGGACACAAUGAAAUGUAUUCAGUCAGCAGAAACUAGAAUACUGAGAGCCAACAAGCAGUGGUGUACAUAGAGAAAAGAAUGUGGAAAAGUUGAAGUAUAGUUUUAAAAAGACAUCUGUUCAUCUGUCCAUGAAAAGAUUUUAGAUUACUAAGAAAAAUAUAUUGAAAACAGCAACAUCUGAGUGGUCUUCAAGUUGUGCAAGAUCAAUUUGUAAAGGAAUUAAAUUUAAACUGGUGCUCUGUAAAUAGUUGCUGCUAAAUACAAGAGGAAGUGUCAGUUACGUCAGCUCAACAAUGAUGUAGAUUAUCCAUGGGAAUGGAACAGCCAAUAUCUUCUCAGAGUUCAAGCAGUGGCCAAUCCUAAAUAUAUAAACUUUGCUGAGGUGAAAUAUUUUUAGCUUAAAACAUACACAUGAUGAAUAAAAUUUGCUACAUUAAUAUAACCACACAAGAUCACAAUUUUUUUUUGCUAGAAACUAAAACCAUUCGAAAUCUCAUCGUGGUCUCCAAAUGUUAAAUGUCAGGUUAUUUUACAUUUCUUGGUCUUGAUUUUAAGUCCACUGAUCAUAACAGCAAUACAUUUAACCCUAGC